CGUGGACACUGUGCCCAUGGGGUCCCCAGGACCUUCCAAAGUCCUUCUCAGCAGCUCUGUUUUCAGAGGUGUGGGCAGCAGAUGGCCACAAGUGAAGGAGAGACCGGAGCUGUGGGUGGUCAGUGCUCACUCUGAACAUCUUCUGCUUUCCUGGCUGCUCACGCAGAAGUCAAUGAAUUUUAAGUGUGUGGAUUGACGGCCAAAAGCCAUGGUGUCUAUCUCAGCAAUGGAGAAGCUACGUGCUUGGAGAGAGAGCUCAUUUAGUUGGUUGCCCAUGCUCAUCGUCUUGGCCUCCUGCAGCACCCAGAGAUUUCUACUGCGCGUACAUCAACUGAUUUAGCUAGAAGACAUCUUUUAGAGAACCUUGACCUGCAAAUUAGGGGGGAUUUAACUGGAAGGAUGAAGAGACCAAAACCCCCAACAGUCUUCAGA